UACGGAGGGUGCAAGCGUUACUCGGAAUCACUGGGCGUAAAGAGCGCGUAGGCGGGUUGUUAAGUCAGUUGUGAAAGUUUGCGGCUCAACCGUAAAAUUGCAGUUGAUACUGGCAUCCUUGAGUACAGUAGAGGUAGGCGGAAUUCGUGGUGUAGCGGUGAAAUGCUUAGAUAUCACGAAGAACUCCGAUUGCGAAGGCAGCCUGCUGGACUGUAACUGACGCUGAUGCUCGAAAGUGUGGGUAUCAAACAGG
rnacentral:rRNA from 1 species